rnacentral:rRNA from 1 species
GCGGUGAUGAUGUGGUUUAAUUCGAUGCAACGCGAAAACCUUACCCACCUUUGACAUAUACGGAAUCCUUUAGAGAUAGAGGAGUGCUCGAAAGAGAGCCGUAACACAGGUGCUGCAUGGCUGUCGUCAGCUCGUGUCGUGAGAUGUUGGUUAAGUCCCGCAACGAGCGCAACCCUUGUCAUUAGUUGCUACAUUCAGUUGGGCACUCUAAUGAGACUGCCGGUGACAAACCGGAGGAAGGUGGGGAUGACGUCAAGUCCUCAUGGCCCUUAUAGGUGGGGCUACACACGUCAUACAAUGGAUGGUACAAAGGGUCGCCAACCCGCGAGGGGGAGCCAAUCCCAUAAAGCCAUUCGUAGUCCGGAUCGCAGUCUGCAACUCGACUGCGUGAAGUCGGAAUCGCUAGUAAUCGUGGAUCAGCAUGUCACGGUGAAUACGUUCCCGGGUCUU